rnacentral:rRNA from 1 species
CGGACGGGUGAGUAAUGUCUGGGAAACUGCCUGAUGGAGGGGGGAUAACUACUGGAAACGGUAGCUAAUACCGCAUAACGUCGCAAGACCAAAGAGGGGGACCUUCGGGCCUCUUGCCAUCGGAUGUGCCCAGAUGGGAUUAGCUAGUAGGUGGGGUAACGGCUCACCUAGGCGACGAUCCCUAGCUGGUCUGAGAGGAUGACCAGCCACACUGGAACUGAGACACGGUCCAGACUCCUACGGGAGGCAGCAUG